AGUGAUAAUGAUGAGAAGAAG
rnacentral:miRNA from 1 species